CUUGAGUUUGAUCAUGGCCAGGAUGACCCCUAGCGGCAGGCUUAACACAUGCAAGUCGAGGGGUAUCCCUCUUCGGAUAUCGAGACCGGCGCACGGGUGCGUAACGCGUAUGCAAUCUACCUUUUACAGGGGGAUAGCCCCCAGAAAUUUGGAUUAAUACCCCAUAGUAUACAGAGUUGGGGUGGGCCUUGUAUUAAAGUCACAACGGUAAAAGAUGAGCAUGCGUCCCAUUAGCUAGUUGGUAAGGUAACGGCUUACCAAGGCUACGAUGGGUAGGGGUCCUGAGAGGGAGAUCCCCCACACUGGUACUGAGACACGGACCAGACUCCUACGGGAGGCAGCAGUGAGGAAUAUUGGACAAUGGGUGCAAGCCUGAUCCAGCCAUGCCGCGUGCAGGAUGACGGUCCUAUGGAUUGUAAACUGCUUUUGUACGAGAAGAAACACUGCUUCGUGAAGCAGCUUGACGGUAUCGUAAGAAUAAGGAUCGGCUAACUCCGUGCCAGCAGCGCGGUAA
rnacentral:rRNA from 1 species